rnacentral:rRNA from 1 species
AUACGUAGGUGACAAGCGUUAUCCGGAUUUACUGGGCGUAAAGGGCGUGUAGGCGGUCUUGCAAGUCAGAAGUGAAAUUCCUGAGAUCAACUCGGGCGCUGCUUCUGAAACUGCAGGACUUGGGUGCUGGAGGGGAUUGCUGAAUUCCUAGUGGGGCGGUAAAAUGCGCAGAUAUUAGGAGGAACACCGGUGGCGAAGGCGGCUAUCUGGACAGUAACUGACGCUGAGGCGCGAAAGCACGGGGAGCAAACAGGAUUAGAUACCCUGGUAGUCCGUGCCGUAAACGAUGAAUACUAGGUGUAGGGGGUAUCGACUCCCUCUGUGCCGCAGUUAACACAUUAAGUAUUCCACCUGGGGAGUACGGCCGCAAGGUUGAAACUCAAAUGAAUUGACGGGG